rnacentral:sRNA from 1 species
CUCAACCGCAAGGAGGGGGAUGCCUAAGGCAGGGCUAGUGACUGGGGUGAAGUCGUAACAAGGUAGCCGUACCGGAAGGUGUGGCUGGAUCACCUCCUUAAAGGGAGACCUAAUUCAGGUAGGAGACGAAAAAAAAGUAGUCCCAACCAAGAAUCAAUCCCAAAAGGUCGGAGCGAGGCGAAAUUGGCUUUCAAACUAGGUUCUGGGUUCACACAAGACCUGAAUCAGGAACAAGGGCUAUUAGCUCAGGUGGUUAGAGCGCACCCCUGAUAAGGGUGAGGUCCCUGGUUCGAGUCCAGGAUGGCCCACCUGCACAGGUGGCAAAAACAAAGAAGCGAGGAAUCAGCACCUUAUCUUACUUAUAUAGUAAGAGAGAAUGCUGGCUCUGAGUAAAGAGUCCAGAGGAACCUUGAAAACUGCAUAGAGCUAGGUGAAAAAGCCAAAAAAGAAGACCGCAAGGUCAAGCUAAUAAGGGCUAACGGUG